UACGUAGGUGGCAAGCGUUGUCCGGAUUUACUGGGCGUAAAGAGCGCGCAGGCGGUCGUUCAAGUCGCGUGUGAAAGCCCCCGGCUCAACUGGGGAGGGUCACGCGAUACUGAUCGACUCGAAGGCAGGAGAGGGUAGUGGAAUUCCCGGUGUAGUGGGGAAAUGCGUAGAUAUCGGGAGGAACACCAGUGGCGAAGGCGACUACCUGGCCUGUUUCUUGACGCUGAGGCGCGAAAGCUAGGGGAUCAAACGGG
rnacentral:rRNA from 1 species